rnacentral:lncRNA from 1 species
CUCGUUGUCUCAUCCAACUUUGCCCACCAAUCUACACACCCUUUCUUCCUCCAAAACGCAUUGGCUCCUAUACCUACAGCAUUCACCUUUUCUUUCAAUUUCACACCUCUCUUCUUCCCAUUAUUAUUAUUAUUAUUAUUAUUCAACCACGCCAAUCGUAACGCCACCUCCAACCUAUUUGCCAUGAAAGCCUCGAUACUAUAAUACCCUUUGGC